GUCGAGCGAGUGGAGUUCUUCGGAACAAAGCUAGCGGCGGACGGGUGAGUAACACGUGGGCAACCUGCCUCAUAGAGGGGAAUAGCCUCCCGAAAGGGAGAUUAAUACCGCAUAAGAUUGUAGCUUCGCAUGAAGUAGCAAUUAAAGGAGCAAUCCGCUAUGAGAUGGGCCCGCGGCGCAUUAGCUAGUUGGUGAGGUAACGGCUCACCAAGGCGACGAUGCGUAGCCGACCUGAGAGGGUGAUCGGCCACAUUGGGACUGAGACACGGCCCAGACUCCUACGGGAGGCAGCAGUGGGGAAUAUUGCACAAUGGGGGAAACCCUGAUGCAGCAACGCCGCGUGAGUGAUGACGGCCUUCGGGUUGUAAAGCUCUGUCUUCAGGGACGAUAAUGACGGUGCCUGAGGAGGAAGCCACGGCUAACUACGUGCCAGCAGCCGCGGUAAUACGUAGGUGGCGAGCGUUGUCCGGAUUUACUGGGCGUAAAGGGAGCGUAGGCGGACUUUUAAGUGAGAUGUGAAAUACCCGGGCUCAACUUGGGUGCUGCAUUUCAAACUGGAAGUCUAGAGUGCAGGAGAGGAGAAUGGAAUUCCUAGUGUAGCGGUGAAAUGCGUAGU
rnacentral:rRNA from 1 species